ACGGGUGAGUAACGCGUGGGAACGUGCCCUUCGGUUCGGAAUAACUCAGGGAAACUUGAGCUAAUACCGGAUACGUGCGAGAGCAGAAAGGUUUAUCUGCCGAAGGAUCGGCCCGCGUCUGAUUAGCUAGUUGGUGAGGUUACGGCUCACCAAGGCGACGAUCAGUAGCUGGUCUGAGAGGAUGAUCAGCCACACUGGGACUGAGACACGGCCCAGACUCCUACGGGAGGCAGCAGUGGGGAAUAUUGGACAAUGGGGGCAACCCUGAUCCAGCCAUGCCGCGUGAGUGAUGACGGCCUUAGGGUUGUAAAGCUCUUUUCUCCGGGACGAUAAUGACGGUACCGGAGGAAUAAGCCCCGGCUAACUUCGUGCCAGCAGCCGCGGUAAUACGAAGGGGGCUAGCGUUGCUCGGAAUCACUGGGCGUAAAGGGCGCGUAGGCGGCUGAUUUAGUCGAGGGUGAAAGCCCGUGGCUCAACCACGGAAUGGCCUUCGAUACUGAUUGGCUCGAGACCGGAAGAGGACAGCGGAACUGCGAGUGUAGAGGUGAAAUUCGUAGA
rnacentral:rRNA from 1 species